UGAUGCUGAUGAUCAGGGGAGCCUUGUAAAUCACCUGUUGCAUAUAGUCAAGGCAAGGGGUUGAAGGAGCCAGAUUCUUGAAUCACCAUUUGGAGAAGAGCCACCUGCUGCUCAGGAACCCCCAUGCUGGACUUGGCUCAUGUGAUGGCGUUCAGCCCACUGGGUAAUCCAGGACAACUUCUCCAUCUCAAGACCCAGCAUUUAAUUGCCUCUACACCUGCCUUUUGACAUGGAAGUGAAUAUAUUGAUAGUUUCUCGGGUUUACAGCUUGACUUUCUUUGGAGGACUGUUACUCUGCCUACCACAGAAGUCACAGACAAAGCAGUUCAGAGACAUCACCAACAAACAUGAAGAAAGGAAGAUCGCAGAGAAAUGUUGCUUGAACCAAGUUGUGGGGGAUGUGAGGCGUUUACCAGCCAGUGCAGAUCCAGCUUUGAAUCAUUUGUCUUAAACAAUCGUUUCUGAACUUAAGCUGAGCAGUGAUUCUUUAAAUGGAAAGCCACAACCACCUGCCUUAACCUAAGUGAGUGUUCCAGGAGGGAGGAACCUGUGUCUUCUUUGUAAUGUUUGUCCUGAUCCUGGGACUGGGCCAGGCACACAUUAUUAAUGGAACACAUACUGGGAGCCCUGCAUGGCACUGAGUUGUGUGGAUUGAAAUAAUCUAUGCUGAAGACAGGACUUUUCUACAGGAGGCAAAGUUUCCCACCUCCUGGAUAUGCUUAAGGCUAAAGUCAUGUCACGCCUCAAGGAGUGCAUGGAUGACAUUCUCUGACCAGGCAGCUACGACAAACUUCUGGCAUCUCAGAUCCUCCAUUAGCCACUCAUACACGGGAAAGCUAACCUCAAGUCUGGCUCCAUCACUGUUGGGAGAAAAGCUCGAUUGCAUUCUCAAGCAGCCGGCUAAACACAACUGUGCUCCUGACUGUAACAGGGACAGGAGGGCCAGUGUGAAAUUCGGACCUUUGGAGGAAAGAAUGCAUACAUUUAAAAUGAAUAAACAGACUUCUUCUAUCUUCUUCCCACUGGCAACGCAUCUGAAGGCCUUGACUCAGCACUAGUGGGCCUUUACUGCUCAUGCUUGCCCAGCCCUCUCGGCGGUGAUUGAUUUCAUUGUUGGCUGUUUUCACUAUGUGAAUGUGGGAUCUUUGGAGAGCCUAAUUCUUUGCAAGUUCCAUUGGAGGGUGGAAGCGCUAGAACAAGCCAUAACCAGUCGAAGGCCCAGUGACUCAGGAGCUUAAGCAUUUAACUAAUUAGCACAGAAGAAUGUGACAAAGAUUUGCAGUUAAUAAGAAUGAAAGAAGAAUCAUUGGGGCCUGAAUUAUGCAAGCUUCUAUUUCCUUUUGGGACCAUAUAGGAAUUUCAGGAGAAGAAAGGCUACCUUUUACCUUUGAGGAAUUUUCAGAGUAAUUUCUUUUUAAUUGGUGACUGACAAAGGGAACAAUUUCAACACCUCAGAAAAAUGCCUCAUCAUUUCCUCUUGUGAAACCUGGGUGCUUUUGAAUGAAUUCAUGUUAGGAAUGAGGAUCCCAAUCCAUGAGGGUCAUUUUUAACCGAAAGCCGCUAUCAAAUGUUAGUGGUGGUUAGAAAAAACAGAACACUUGUCUUCCGUGAGCAUCCUAUGACCUAUCUUUAUCCUUCGAAGCCAAGAAAAUGUAAUAAAUGAGAGCACAGUCUUUUGCCAAAUAUGUUAAAAUCCCAGCUCAAUCUCUUCCUAGUUACAGGACUGUCCUCUCUGAGCCUCAGUUUUCUCAUCUCUGAAAUGGGACUAAUUACAUCUACUUCCCAAGGGGGUUCUAAGGAUUAAAUAACAACCUGUGAAAAAUGUUUAAUCUGGUGUCAGGCACACAAUAUUCACUUAAUGCCAUGGUUGUUAUUAUUAACAAAAAAUAAAAGAAAGAGAAAAUGCACACU